rnacentral:piRNA from 1 species
ACUGUCACCGGCCCCAUCACUC